rnacentral:lncRNA from 1 species
UAUAUUCUGUAGGCAAAUCAAUUAACACAUCUGAACAUUCUCAGUGAAAUCUCUGAGAUUUUGAUGUUUCAGUUUGCUGACGCACACAGAUCCAUUCCAAUAUUCCAAAGCCAUAUUACUUGGAACAUUCACCAACCAGAAAUUUAGCUCUUUUUAAAUCAAAUAUUUUCACAAAGGGAAAGAGAAACAAUAUGGGAACACCUGAAAUGUUUAGUAUUACAUACAUAUCAAUCUGCAGAUGUGUGGUUUUUUGGCUUAGAUCCAUCUCCCAGAAACUUUUCAGGUGAAACAGAUGAAAGAAAGCUUAUGAACCAAGCUGUGGAAGAUAGAAUUCACACCAUAUACCCUAUCUAUACACAGAACAACUGCACUUUGGGAGUAACAUGCAACUCGCACUUCACGCACCAUCAACUUUCGGCGCAAUGCAUGCUUUCAUACCCGAAAUGGGAAGCCGAAAUUUUGAUAUAUUCUUAUUGCACCUCCUCGUCCAGCAGUGACGAUUACCAUUCCCCAUGCUGACCUGCUUUGCACCUGCAGAGCCCCUCUGUAAAGCUCACCGCUGGUUUGAGGGCUAAGAUUGUUCCGUUGCGGCUUCUCUUCAGGCCAAGCCACAGAAUCCAGAUCGGUGGAGUAGUUGGCGUUCGAAAAGAUGCGACUGUGAAGAGGGCUUUCGGAGUAGAUAGGCGACGAUGAACUCUCAUGCCCGUUGCUCUGAGCAUGCACCUCCAAUUCACACUUGGAUGCUAGGUCAAGACCAUUCUGUCUGUUGCUAUGGCCCACAACCAACCCUGAAGCAGUGGUGCUUGGCCAUGCAACCGCCACCGUCACAUCCUGGCAGUGGAAGUGCUCAUAAGAUUGAGUGGAGUUGAUGACACCCUUAGUCCUACUUGGUUGAGAAUCAGCAUCAUAUCUCCACAUAUAAACAUGGGAAUCCUCGCUAGCACAGAUCACAUAUUUCCCAUUUGGGGCCAAGGAGGCUGAGAUUUGGCUGCUUGUGUUGCGAAAGCCUGAAAAAAAGAUGGAACAGCAUCAGACCAAUCAACCUUGAUAACAAAAUUCGAUACACACGGUCCUAGCAAGUCGCAACCAUGAAUAUAGAAUACAACAUAGUCAUUGGAGAAAGAAAUGCCGACAUACUAUAAUGAAACUUCAAAUGUGUUUCAUCAAAGAUAUCGAUGCUUUAAAUUGCAACAUAUAAAUAAAAAGUUAUAUAUUUUAUUUAGUGGUAUGAAACCGAGGGCCGAGUGAGCUGCCUAUGACUCUUUAGCAAAAAAGUGACCAACAUCCUUGAGUUAAAAUUUGCUGAAAGGACAUUAGUGCAUCUACGAGAUUCUUUCAGAAAAGCCAAUGACACAACAAAGAUCCCUUCUGAUUGUGACCAUCUGGUGCUGUGAUCCUCCAUUACAGAUUGUUCCCAAGAUAAUCUGCAACACUGAGGACCAUUAAGGUCCAACGCAGAACAAGUUGCUCGUGAUUUGGAAGAUCAUAUAAUUCAUGGAAAAAACUGCUUAUUCUUCUUUUCCCUUCUAAGGGUGUUCUUUAAACAGGUCCUAUACUCAAAAACUGUCUACAUAAGGUAAGAUUUCUUUGGUGAGAGCACAGCCACAAUGAACACCAGGCCGUACCACGAAGAUCUGUGCAAGAUAGUCACUCGAUAAUGCGUUGGCAGUGGCCAUACAGCAUGAAUUCAUAUUGAACAUUGAUUUAGAAGAUUGCUUUCUCCAGGAUUAUUUGACAGAUGAUGAAUUAGUGUGUAGAUCAUCAUACAAACAGGCUCAAAGCAUUUUCAUAUGCCAGAUGACAGGAAGUUGCUUUUCACCUCUUUGAAAUUCAAAAACAAAAUCAUAAAGAUUGGUGAAGUCCAGAUCAAGAUCUUUUCAUAUUACUGUCCAGGAAAAAACAUAACAGAAUUUCCUACCAAGGCAAUUACUAACAAAACAACUAUUCGGUGAAUGUACAAUCACAAGUUGAUGCAAGUGCACAGAGCAAUAACCUUUAUGGAUGUGAAAAAUAGAUGCAUCGAUAAUCAAGAAUCCGUAUUACUUCUUUGAUAUAAGGGUUAAAAAAUAGAUUUGGGUGAAAAUUUUUGGCAGAUUCAUAUUAUUUGGUUCUAUCUUAGCUACAGAAUUCUAAGAUUAAUAGAAGGAACAAAGUAUAAAACAAAGCAUAGCCAUAAAUGUUGAUAAUAUAAUAUCCAAAGUCUAUCAUUUUUUAUCACAAGAACAAAAAGUUACAUCACCACCAGAAAAUAUCUGGAUCAUGUUGAUUAAGAAAGGUGGCUGCAUAACACCACAUAUACACUGGACCACAAAUCUACAUAAAUAUAUAUUUCCAGCUGUUCAAGUAGGAAUCUUUUUUUUUAAUUUAAGAAAAGAACUUGGAGCUUUUUCUGAAUUUCCUGAUCCUUAACAUGAUAGAAAUUCAAAUACAUAGGUUCUUAAGUCUCUAAAAAAAAAAAAGGAAUAUGAAAGAUUGAACUCCUAAUUCAGAUGACCAUCAGAUACAAAACUUUGGUUAUCUCGUGUCACAUUAUUAAAGCAUCCUAAAGUUCAAACUACAAGAUCCUACUACAUUCUGAAUGUGAUGUCUAGCUGAGUUUGACCUCAUGAUAGUGGAGAAUAACUAGCAUUUGUCACCCCAUUGUUGAAAGUCUAGCUUCUUAAAAAUUGCUUAAAAAUUCAGAGUAAAACUCUCAAAGUUUCGCCAUUUAAAGUCUUCAUCUCAGAUUACUCUCCAUCUCGUAUCUUAUGUUAUUCUGACCUGAGGAGGACUCCACUAAACACAUUGAUGCCAUCUCUCCGUUCUGUAAGACUUAUCUUGAUGAAUACAUCUACUACAACAGGGCACCUUACAUCAGGGAUGAACCUGAGCAGCACUUUUCUGCUCAACUUGGUACCUCACUUCAAGUCACCUUUGUACACCCUAGCUCAACCCAUGCAGGCAAUAGUGUGCCUUGUCAUCUACUUCAGAAAAGAAGGCCUGAGUCAGCCUUUGCAGCCUUAGUCCAUAAGGGGCCAAAAAUUGACCACAUCACUUCUCAUUUGUUGUCAUUUUUUAUGUGAAUGUUUAUUUUUCCUUCAUUUUUAUCAUUGUAUUGUCAUGAAAUUGGAUGUUGUUCAGUCACUCUAAUAUAGUUCAUUUUAUCCCUUCGUUUUAGUGGAUCUUUACCUUAACAGGGUACAAUGUUCAUAAAUUUAAGAUAGAAAAUCCAUAAGCCAUCACUGCCAAGAUUUACCUUUAAAUUUGUGAACUAGUUCAAUGCCAUUGACAACACGAAUUCUUGAGUCUGCUGAUGUGAUAAGAACUUCAGAGGAACUUCCUGGAACAAACUGUUUAAUGAACUAUUCAGUUCAAUGCCACGUAAUAAAUGAAAAUUUCUAAAAAAUCCAAAAAAGUAUAAAGCAUGAAAAAAAAUUUGCAUUCACCUAUUUGGUGAAUUUAAUAUAUUUCUAGAUACCUGAAAGCCAGUAAUUUUCUUGUGGCUGGACUUCUUUUUCUUCGUUUGUAAGUAAACCUGGUUCUUGAUGUGUAGCUUAUUAUCUAAAGGAAAUUACAACAGUCUAACAUAAGGAAAAGAAAAUGCAAAGAUCAUUGAAUAAUGAAGUUAAAAAUAUCCCAAUAGAACAGGGAGACAAAUACAAAAAUAGAUUGGAGAAAUGAUCUUUAUUAUGGCACAUACCAGAUGUGUCGAACAGGUGGCAACUGCCCUUGUGCGUACCCACUAGAGCAGCCUGCAAGUCCCAACAGCUGAAUCAUAUCAUCCAUAUGGACUUUGGGAUUUCAAAGCUUACUCAAUGUGGAAUCAAAUUUAUCAUUUGUCAAGCAUUUGCUACCUGUCCAUUAGGGGUAAAGCAGGCAGCAGUAACCAUUUCAUGAAGAUCAUUCCAAUCAACAAUUUGUCGAUCUGGAAUACUCCAUAUGCGGACUUUCUCAUCUAGGGAUCCACUGAUGAAGUAUUUGUCAUCUACAGGAUUGAAUUGGAUGCAGGUCACUGGAUCAAAGUAGGUACAAAAUUGUCAUUCUCUAAUAAAACAUUACAACUUCAAAAUACAUGAUCAUUUAAGCAAAACAGGCAAUGCAGAGCAAAUUUUUGCUUACCAUAGUCACUGUGGGAAAAUGUUUUCAAACAAGAACUGCUAGACAUGUGCCACAGUCUGACUGUUUUGUCCAUUGAAGAUGAUAGCAGAUACUGCAUUAAGAAGUAGAUGCAUGUCAUUUAGAUAAGACUUUUAAUCAUAACAUUAUCAGUAUCAUAUUAUCUACCAGAUGAUCAAACAUUAGUAAAAGCAUUGAGCACCUUUGAUUAUGCCAAAGCAUUAUGUAAAAGAGAAAAAAAAAAAAGAACUUUCCACUAAAUCUAGGAAAGGCACAAGUAUAAAUUUUCUGCAGGUUCCGUGUAGUUUGUCUUAAUCAAAGAUGUACACAAAUCAUUAACAGCAUGAUGUACCAUCAAGAUAUCAAGCAUCUUUCAAGUGGGAGUCUGAAGCUCAAAAAUAGUACAGAGAGGGAAAAAAAACACACUCCAAAAGUGACAAGUUCUGAGCAUAUAUUUAUGACAUCAAUGUUGUAAUAGAUCUCUUUCCUUUGAAGGCCUAUCACUAGCUCUCUAAUAGGUAAGAUCAAGGUUGUCUUCCAGAUCUUCCUUGGAGGAAGCUGCCAUACUAGCAGUGAAACCCUAAGCAAGUUACAACUUAGACAAUAAUAAAGAUGUGCAUCAGCAAUCAAGGAAUUAUCUUACAUUCGAUUUACAAAUCUGAGAAGAAGUUUCAUAGAACAAUCAGAUGACUUGAAGAAAAAAAGUAGAAAAAUAAAACCAAAUAUCCACUUGUGAAAUGAAAAAGAUAACAUUCAGCAUCUCUAGGUCAUGAGCAGGCAAACUCAAGUAAAUUUGGUAUUCCAACUAGAAGUUGGACGUGGUAGAUGAAUAGGAAAUAUAUUUAAUAUAGUUGUCUACGAUGAUGAAUUAAUAGCCAACGUAUACACAAAAUUGAUGUAGUACGGUAGGAUAUGUAAUUGAGAUGACCAUUAGAAUAUGGCAUAUAUAGUCUGCACGAAUAAUGACAAUCAGAUUUUGAAGCUAAAGUCCUCAAAAUCGAAGCACAAAAUAUCAAAUGUAUUAUACAGAAGAAAGCCAAAGAUUCAACACGAAUAAUGAUUCAAAUAACUACAGAUGUUUUUAGCAUUGCUAAGGCCAGCUAAAUACUUCACUAUUAGAUAUUGUUUCUACAGCAUGUAUACAUGGGAAGGCAUAAAAUGAUGUUCCAACACCCAUCUAGAAACCACUACUAAUUUGCCUUCUACUUUUCAAUUGAUGAUUCCUUUUCAUACCAUUUUCUUCUCCAACUCAUGCCUCUAAAUUUUGAUCCCAUUUGCCACCUAUAUUCUUGCAUCUUAGACAUCAGUUCAGAUGGAACCUAUUGUUGGAGAGGGUUCUUCUAUCUAGUGAAUCACUUCAUAUUAAGGGAAACAAGAUUAGCUUUAGUGCUCAUGAGUCAUGAAUCAUUUUUAAGUGAAAAUCCUUGAAAGGUAUACCUUCUCUUUGACCCACCCCUGUUGCUUAAAGUCUAUUGUUAAACCAUGUCUAGUGUUUGGAAAGAAAGGUUACAUUAUUGAAGACAUUCACAAAUUCAUCAAGGAUAGUGUCAGAAUGUUUUUCCAACUCUUGAAGAGGAUCAGAUUAUAACAUGUUAAGAAUCUAGAAAUCCUAAUGAUAGAUGAGGAACAUGGACUUUCUGCAAGAGCAGAAAAAAAUGUCUAAUUACUUACUCGAUGCUCACUAAAUGAAGCUCAACCUGCUCAGGAAUGAGCUCAUGACCAUGAGCUAUCCCAUGUGUGAAUAUUGGCAUCAAAUAUGGAUCAAAGAAUCACAUAAAUUAAACUUUUUUCUGAUAAAGUUUGCAAGUUAACUAAAGUACUACUUUUUCCUGACCUCAACUUGUUUGGAAUGAUUAAUCAAUCAUUCGUUUGUAUUUUUAUGACAUCAUGUACAUGGGUGUUGGUGACAUAUGCUAACACCCAAAAUAAUCCACAUAUUAAAGGAUUAAUAACACGAUCUGUAACAGUGAUCAGUGAAUGCAACAGUUGAAGUGAUUAUUUGGGCUUAACCAAUAUAGCUGACAAGAGAAAAUUGAUGUGUAGAAAAAUAAGAUAAUCUCAAAGAAUAAACUAGCCUACUAUAUGCCAUUUGUUGAAGCUGGUAAUGCAAUUGUAUUUCAGGGAAAAUUUCAUUCAUCCAUGGUCAAUGAGGAGAUUAAUGAUAAAUUACUGUGGUCAACCAGAAAACAGAAUUGGGACGAUCCAAAGGUGCUAACAUAUUUAGCAAAAAAGUAGAGUUGAUAGGUGGCCUUAAUAUGGGAUAAUAAAGUUAGAUUACUGAUAAGCUCCCUCUUUAUCUUCGCUAGUGAAUGGCAAAUGCAGCAGCAUUUACUUACUUAGUAUAUGCAGCACCAAUGAUCAGUCUUUCUUCUUAUGAAGGCUCAAUAUACCGAAAACCCAGACUUUAAGUUUGUAAAACCCUUUGACCCACAUAUGUCUUGAGAAACCUCAAACUUAUCUAUUGUGUUCAAUCAACUAGCAUUCGGCCUGCAAGUGAUGCUUCGUCACGAGUUCCUUAAGGAUCAGAAUUUCACAAAUCAAUGUUUUCCCUGGAAUUAAAUGGUGUUUCAUCUAGAGUUAAUUAGUGUUUCAUCAAUUACAAACAAUACUAAUGCUGAUUUUGCUAAUACAUUAGUAGGCAUCAUUAACAGGGAAGUUUUACCAAGUGUUGAUUAAUCAAACAACACUGUGUAGCCACAGAACAACUAUUUAACUUUUGUGAAACAAACAAAGAAAGAAAAAAUCACCUGCGAUUUGGACCAUGAUAGAUCAAGAACAUCUUCUGUAUGGCCUCUGAAAGAGCAGAUGGGCUUCUCCGAUAAAGCGAAAAAAUGGUCUGGCAUCAUUAAGUGGUCAGAACUCACAGACCUUCUGCUGUUAGGGACUUUUGCCUUUCUCUUCUUCUCCCAGUGGCUCCCCUCUACACAACUCAUUGCCACUGCAGGUUCCGGUGAGCUGUUACCAAUUGCAGCCAGAAAAGGAUUACAAUUCCCAUUCUCCCCUAUGGCUCCAUCUGACAACUCCCCCUUCCUCUCCGACUCAACAACCUCCCAUACAUGGAUAACACAGUCCUCGCCUCCACUUGCCAGAUAUCGCCCAUCCGAGCUAAAUUUGAUGCUCCAGAUUGCCCCAUUGUGGGCCUGAAUCUCCUGAGUGAUGUAAAGACCAGUGAGCUCCUUAUAUGAUUUACCAUACUGCCGGACUCUGAUCUUUUCAGGGCCGUGGUGGAGGGAGUGCGACCCAUCCAGGCUAUCAUCCGUGGCUGAGCUCGACCUCCUCCCUCCCUUCUCAGACGAUGUGUCUUUCUCAUCACUGCUCCGCCUUUCCCGGUGAUGGUGCCCACCAGAGACCACCGUGCCCGCCAUGUUCUUGAUGCUCUUGAACCAGCUACCUUUCUUCUUGAACCUCGCGCCCGCAGGAUUCCCUGAGUUGGCCCUCAACCCGCCACCAGGGCCCUCGAAGGCGUAGCCGUUUCUCUUAGUGCCGCCGCUCCCAGACUCUUCGACGCUUUGCCGCCUCAUGAGCUCCUGUACGAUUGGGGACCGGCCGACGCAAAUCUCGAACUCCUCCAUCGUGAGCUGCCGCCCGGUCCCGACCUCCUUCAGCUUGUUCCACAUCCCGUCCUCCCGUACCUCCUUCACCACGAACUCGCUCCCGUCGUCCAAAUUCCUGAUCGUACAUUGCUGGUAACCGCCGCCACCGUCUCCGCCGCAGCUGCCGUCGGUCUCUUUGUACUUUCCCCCAGCCAGCGCCCAAGAUCGCCCGACUAGGGGCGGCUUGUUGGUCGCCGUGGCAGAUCCAAACGAAAUAGCACGCCGCUGCGGCCGUUCCGCAAUCACACGAUUGGGAUCGACGGAGCCAUCUGAUCUGGAUCUGACGAUUACAGACACGGCAGGCGGCGAGGAAUCGAGGGACGGAACGGAUGACCCAGCCUCUGCCUCCCAAGCCCUAGGCCCACCGGAGCCGGGGUCGACGUCGGGGGAAGGGGCAGUGGAUUUAGCCCGGGCGAGAGCGGGGUCCCCGAUAAGGCCCAUCUGCUGGAGGAGGCGGCGGCGGCGCUCCUCGACGGAAGACGGCUCGGAGAUCCAUACGUCGUAGGAGCUGGCCACCGGCGGCGGGAAGUGGGCGGCGCGGCGCUGGUGGUGGCGGUGGCGAUGGUCGGCGUCGUCGUCAGAGGCGGAGGUCGAAGAGCACGACGACGACAGGAUCCGAUCCAACGACUCGUAGAACUCCUCCUCGUCGCCCUCCUGCUGCUGCGGCGGCUGCGCCACCGCCUCCCACUCCACCGCCGUCGCCGAGCUCCUCAUAUCCGCGUCCGCAUUCCGUUCCCGAGGCUGCCGACCGACACGGCGACCCGAUUCGGGGCUCCAAUCGGACGUGGCGAGAAAUAGUGAGGGGGACGGGGAACCAACACAGAGGGGAUCGAAGUCCUAUGCGAUGUCGUCACCGCCCCGCCCCACUCCGUAGAUAAAAAAGCAGUGGCUGGCGUUAGGAACAGUUCUCUCUCACGAAGUACAUCCACCCCUUCCCAAAGUCAUCCCCUUAAUUCCAUCGUUAAUAUCGUCCCUCAUAAUAAUUCACACACACAUAUAUAUAUAUAUAUAAUAAAAUACGAAUAUUUUUUAUAAAAAAAUAUUAUUAGAUAUAUUUUUAACCUGUAUUCUUAUAUAUUAUAAAUAAAAAUUGAUCGAUAAGAUUUCGAAUCCUCGAUCUUAUAUCUUCGAUAAAUGAGCCUUAUUCAUCAUCUUAAAAUAAUAAAAGAGGGUUUAAGAUAAUAAAAAUAGGAGUAAAAAAUAAAGCGGAGUACAGAGGGGGAAAGCUGAAAAGGGAAUAAAUAAAGCACGUUGGAUACUGCUGGCAUUAUUAUGUGGGCUGAGAGAGCUCGGCACGUUCUUCUCUGUUCCACUGUAAUAAGGUGGCAGCUGCCUUUUUACACACCACUUUCUCUGGAUCUUCUAUCACAAACUAGUUUAAUCUUAGCAAAUCAUCCGUGCUCUCUGUCUCUCUCUCUCUCUCUCUCUCAUAAUAAUGACUGUAGCUGCUUGAUGCAAGGCAUGCAAGGGUGUUCGCUAUGAUGGAUGGCGCUUUGCUUGCAGUGUGUUCUAAUCUCGCUUCCCCGAGAGGCAAACAGGGCAUUGCAAAUGACUUGCUGUGUGUGAUGGCUGUCUUCCUUCUCUCCCUUUCUCGCUCUAUCCUUCCUUUUAUCUUUGUUUCUUUCCGCUUGUCUGAGCUAAUCCGACAGGGCGGACCAUUUCCCAAGCGGUUCAUGGCGGUGGUCCUCCCAACGCGGUAGUCCUGUUAGGCCCGAAGGUCCCCCCAUUCCCUUCACCAAAGGUACCCAACUAUUAGCUGUUCCUCCCUUUGCUGGAUCAGCCUAGGUAAUGGCAUCUUUGUUUUACCUACGUUAGGUGAACAAAAUGGUACUGCUCACUGACCGCAACAGCUUCACAGGCAAAGCUAAGGAGCUUCUAAGUAGUGCUGUUCCCGAACUCCUCCAUUUCUUUGUGAGCAGCAGGCGAUCGAGGGGUCGACGUCGAUGAGAAGGGACCAUGUCCUGCCCUGUUUGCGGCAAAAGAAUCGUUUCAGAGGAACAGCCCCCACAAGCAUGUUGCAGAGGGCAACGCCCGUAAGAGAAGAAACUAGGAAUGGCUUGGGCUGAUGGCAAAGAACGCUGUGGCGGACCAGAUCACAAGAAAAGCACCAUGAGAAGGUGUGUGGGUGUUCCUCCUGGGCUGUGGCUUACUGCUUGCAUGGAUAAUAUGCAGCCACUCCAAUGAUCCUGUCUCGGUAAAGACUUCUGAUGGAGGUGAAAUGCUGCUCUGUUCUCACAUUGCCGUGGGAAGAAACGACUGAGCUUAACAGUGACAAUAAUUGAAGUUGGAUUCAGAAUAAGAAUGACUUGAUGAGUACAUCUCAAGGCUAUAUAUAUAUACCAUUGACUUAAGAACCAUUUUUCAUGAAAGAGAAGAAGAAGAAAGAAUUAGAAUCUUGAAGGGUUGACAAUGCUGCACAAUGAGGGGCUGAAGGAAGAAUUAAACAAACAUCACUGUCGUACUGAAAUCAAUCAUGCAAGAUUAGAAUAAAAGCACGAAUGAUGUAGUUCAUGGCCAUGAACGGGGCCAUUCCUACUACAGUGUUGAGAAUGAGAUAGCUUGGAGUCUGGUGAACGAGAUUAACAGCCUGAUUGGUGGUCGAGGAGGAGGAGGGAGAGGCAGAAGAGGAAGCAAAGGGCACAUGCGGCGGAUUUAGUAGUACAGACAGCGGGCAUAAAUCCACCACUCACCAUCGAUGCACUUCGCUGUCAACUCACGGAGACACCGCCAACCAACCAAUGCAUUCCCCCCACCCCCCCCUCCCUCUGCUGCCUUCUUCCCUCCUCUUUGCUGCAGGCUGCGGUUGCCGAUGGCCCACGCGAGCACGUGAUGUUCUUCCCCGAGCAAUCUUGGAGUCGCCUGCUCGCCCUGGUGGAUGGCUGACCACGAGAUGAGAGAGGGGGAUAUCAUCACGCUGGGCCCUCCCAGGAGCAUGUUCGCAUCAGGAUUUACCAGAUAGAAGCCGAGUCUUCGUCCCACGAAGAUGUGACGAACAAACUAGUUGAUCAAAUCUUUCAUGAGUAUGAUUAAUCUCUAUCACCUAAAUACAGUCGAACAAGCCACACAAGGUUGAAUUAGACCAUCUCCUAAAGAUAAAGAUGAAUCUUGAUCCUGUUUUUGUCGAUGAACAACGAUCUGAUUCAUUAUUUUGGAGCAUCACACAAGAGGCAGAAAGGCAUAUCAUAAAUUCAUUAUUUUCCUUUCAACUUCAAAAGCAUUAUGCACUGGAAAAAAGGUAAAAGGAGAAUUUAUUACACUAAUCAGACACGACAUUCAACCGAUCAAAACACUCGCCGGAAUAACUUUCAGGGGGCAAUGUACAUCGCAUCAACAAAAGCAAAAAAUUGGCAAAACCAUUACUGCAAUUCUGCUAACCAUAGUCCUGAUCCUAUUGAUUUACAGAGCUAAAACCGGAGACCUUCCCGGCGUUAAGCUGCUGAGACGUCGGUAGAGGCUGCGGUUGUGGCGGUGGAAGUGGUACUUGCUGUGCCAAGACACCCUUACUAUCACUAUGAACGGCUGAUACACCUUGGAGCUGUGAUGGCUGACCAACUUGAGAAUGAUUCAGCAGCCAUCCUCCUGAAAUCUGACGACCAUCACCUUGCAUCGACUGAAUUCUUCCCUGAGAAUCCGUCACAUUCAUGUAUCGCUCUGGAACCCCUUGAGCUCGCAUGAAGUGUUGGUUCAAGGGUACAAUCAUCUGGCCAGAACCCCAAAGGCAUAGUGCACUGCCUGGAAAACUUGGCAUUCCUGCUGAAGCCGGAGAAGGCCCUAAUACUGACCCCUCUGCUGGCCCACCUGUUGGCACCUGCUGUGUGUGUGGAAUUUCGUAGGGAGCAUUGUAAUAUUGUUCAGAUCCUUUUGUAGAAUGAUGAGCAUAACUAAAUGCUGCAUGAGGAACUACGGCCUGGUUGGAAUUUAUAGAUAACUGAUAGUUUGGCAGUAAAGGGGGUUGCGAUGGCGGGUAAUUUGAGGAUGAGGACUGGAAAGCAUUCCCUUGUUUCUCGGAAAGCAGUUGAUCAGAGACUUGUCGAUUCUGAGAACCAGCCUGGCCCAAAAAACUUUGGGGCUGAUUAACCCAGCUGUUGGGAUGUGGGUUAUUGUCUGCCUGGAUAUCACCUGGCUGGCGCUGUUGGGGGCCAUUGAAUGGCAUUGGCUUCAAAUGAAGUGGCACCACCGAAAAUGGAUGAUCAUUAGACUGUUGGUGACGAGUUCUUUCAUCACGAUAGUGAUUCUGAGGGUUUGUGCUCGGGGAGAAGCCUGACAUUGGUGGUGCACCAGCAAUGGAUGUCUCUUGCAGUAAUAAUUGCUUACAAGAAUUGAUAGAUGACGCACUUGCCUCAGUCUCAGUGCCGCCCUCCUUGGUAUUGGAUUGAAGGUCAGCAUGAGCCUCACGAAUAUGAGAUUCAAAGUCUGAUUGUUUGAGAAAGGACUUUAGACAGUUAGGAGCAGCACAUAUAAAGAUGCCCUCCAUCAUUUUGAUAGAUUGGAUCUUCUGAAUACGUUCAUUGCAGCUGCAAAAAAAGGAAAUAACAACAGUCAUAUCCAGUAAAAUCGGUAAUAAUAAAAUCCAAGAAUAAUGGAACAUAAUUUUGCAGUGGAAUCAAUAUAAAUAGGACCCUUGUUAUACAUUUUGUGUAAAAGUUUUCUAAUAGUUGGUGCUGCAAUAUUUCUCUCUCAAACAAAUGUACCAAUCAAACAACCAAGAAUAUCCAUUGCACAGAGAGUAUUGUGGCCACACUUCCUAAUUUGGAAGCUCAUGUCUAUCUUCAACCACCAGAAUGUAUCGUCCAAGUAACAAUAAAGAUGAUUUGAUGCAUAAAAACUUCAAUAUUAAUUGAUAAGAUGAAUUGGGAACAGAAAGAAGUCUCUCCAACGGCAAUGCUCUAUAAAAGAGUCCAUCAAUUGUCUAUGCUCAUUAAAAUAGGCUGGACGUAUAAUGGGAAUAAAUGGUGACUAUGAUAAUGAGAUGAUUGGAAAUUAAUAACAACAAAAAUAUUGUGGUUGAUGAAUGUUAAUACCGUUUAAACAUGUUGACCACUAAAUUACAAUGGUAAACUUGAUUGUCAAAGGUAGACCAACAGAAAACACUUGGUUAAAGUUACUGUCAAGUGGUAAGAAUCAAACAGUUAAUAACUCCAUUUUACAAUGCAUGAAAGAACAAACUAUUCCAAAAUUUGGAUCUUGAAUACUAUAAGAGACACCAAAAAAACAAAACCCAAGUCCAAUGCAGAUCGAAUAGCCGAUUCAUAAAUAAAUAAAUAGAUAAGCUCAGGUAAAAAGAUCUUACAGGCAGCAGCUAGCAUCACUUCUUGCACAUGUCAAACAGAAAGCAUGUUCACAUGGUACCUGCAAAUAUUUUAGGUUAUAGUAACAGCACACAGACCAUAACCAACUAAAGUUCAACACUAUGUUACCCAUUUUAUUGUGCAUGCAAAUCAUAGUCAUCAACAGAAAACAAAAAACAAAUGAAAUCUUCAGCCAUACAAGCCACCUUCAAAUUUAAACCUGUCUAGCAUUCCAGAUAAAAUUAUGAGGACUAAUUUAUCCAGCAAAAUGAUGACUUCCCAACACUUAUAUAUAAUGGAUGACGAGUAGUAUAAAAUUAAAAAUUUGGAAGUAGAAAAUAUCAAGGUCUUAAUUAGCUUAUCUAAUUUUAUUGGGAAUGGUUGCAAGAUAGGUGUGUCAUCCUCCAAAAUGCUCAAUUUAUUGUUGUUAGAAUAAAGAAGCUACAGUGACUGUCAAUUACCAAAGCCACCAUAGGGGAACAAAAUUUUGAUCAAUUAGAUAAGCAUCUUGUCAACCAUGCAAACACGGUAAAAUCGGCAACACAACUGAAAAGAAAAAAAAAGGCAUAAAAAAGUGUGCAUUCUCCAAAUCUAGGAGUUGUUUUUUUAAGCUUCUAUCGACAUUUUUUUUCUUCAAUAAAAUAGACUGUAAAGGAGCGGGAGUUUUGCCAUAUUCUUGAAAUACAUAAAAUGCAGAUGUUUCAUUCCUUGUUUUAUUUUUUUUCUUUUUCUGGUUUCUCAUCCUGAAGUCUCAUUUAAUUUUUCAUUUAAGAAGGAAACCAGUGUACAAGAUGCCUUCUAUUACUAAAAAAUUCCAAUAUUUAGAUCAAGUAAAACAGCAUUUCUCUCACAAUCAAAAGCAAAAAUCUCAUUGUCCAGCUCAAGGGGGUUAAUAGUUUGAUGUUUCUUGUAAGUUGCAUUCAGUAUUUGGAUUGAGAAAGGUAUCCACGUCAUUACGUCAAUAUGUUAAAAUCCUCUGCAUGAUUAUACCAUGUCAACUGCUAUACGCACCAAGACUAAGCCCUAAGAUACAUAGUACGAUAAAUUAUAAGGACUAAAAAACUUCAUAAACCAGUCAUGAUAAAAGUUUCUGAAGUUCAUAAAGUUUGUCACAUCUUUUAUUUCAGGAUAAGGCCUCAGAAUACAUGUCAAUUAACUGAUUCCAGUGUAGCAUUAAGUAGUUCUUACAUUAAUCAUUAUAAUUCUUAUGACUAAGUCCAUCACAAAUUCAAUCUCUAAAAGGAAUCUCUAGAAACAUCUUCUUCCCCUGGCCAACCAACAAAUGUCUAGCCCUAUCUUGCAAACAGUCUUCAAUGACAGUAAUUGCAACAUGUGCCUUCAUUCCAGCAUUUUCUAAAUCUGAAUCAGAAGUCUAUGAUAUAUUCUAUAAAUGAAAAAUCUUGCAUAACAUGUACAACUCACAGUUCUUUUUUCCAUCAAAAACAAAAUUCACAUUGGAAAGAAGCAUCAAGUUCAGCAUGCUAACUGAAUUAUCAUAAAACCGGAUAGUUAAAUUUAGUCAAAGAGGUUAAUCAUCAACUUAUUUCUACAAAGAUCCACACAGCUCUAUGGGUCCAUCAGCAUUUUCAGAAUCCAUAGUGAAAUGAAUAAGAGUCUAUGAGAACAACUUUAGAAAUCUGUAAAAAAUGACAGCUAAUAUGUAAUAAAGUUUUGAAAAUAGGAACAUCUCAUGAUGCAAUGUCAAAAAGAACAAUGCAAUGUCCAUAUUUCUGAAAAGAGAGACUACAUCUUCCUAGUUCCAAUCUACAUUCUGAUAUUUAAUUCCAGCAUCAGGACACAAGAGAAUAAAUCUUCCCACUAUUCCUCCUCAAUGACUAUAUUACCCGAAGUGGUAAACCUAUUCCUUAAUAAUCCCAGCAUCAACUAUUGCAAUGUCAAAAAGAACAAUUCAAUAACCUAUCUUCUGAAAUUUAUUGUGACCACCGCGACACAGGACAAUAGUCUUCUCAUUGAUUCCCAAUAUUCUAGAUUUGUUCCUCCCCAAUAGGAAACCUUCUGUGCGGUACUUCUCAGGACCUAGACUCUCCCAGGCCUAACCACGGCUCGUUCUCAACAAAACAUAUUACCAGAAGGAAGAAACACGAAGAGAGACUAAUAGUAGAUAACGGAGAUAGAGAAGACCUAAUCGAACCGUAGAGACGAGAAGGCGAACAAUACCAGGCGGCCGUACAUGGCGAUAGGGAAAUCGCAACGCACGCAGAAGUGAACCCGCUCGCCGAGGUUGCGCCGGGAGCGGCGGCCGACGGUUCGGACGGCUGCGGAGGAGGUGACGGCGCCGAGGCUCUUGGCCACCGGGAGGCCGGCGAUGUUGAGGUGGUCGGGGCACGCCACCGUCACCGUGUUCGCCAGCGGGUGAGGCUUCACCGACGCUCCGCCGCCGUCCCCCGCCGAUACCUUCCGCAGUCGAAUCUGCAGCAUCGUCCUCUGCCGCUCUCCUCCCUCGCGAUUACGAGUUCGAUUGAUUCCGGUAUGGGUGAUUGAUGAUUCAGGUUUAGUUUCAUCUAUAUAACGUGAGAGAGAACUUUGCACGUGAAAUGCACGUGAAUGAGAGUUACUAUUGGAUUCGGAUUUGGACGAUUAGGAUAUGUUCGGAUUCGACUCGGAUUUGGUCGGAUUCGAUCUAGCCGAUGACCACUAAUUCGUGCCGGCCGUGACCGACCCAAUCCACUGGAGCUAACCACGUGGCAGCAUUCGAGCGGACCUCGCAGGGGUGUGCCUUCCGUCGCAUCCCCUCCACACGCCCUCUUCUUCCUCUUCUUCUUCUUCUUCCCCAGACUGGCCUCUCUUCGCGCAUCGGCUGUUUCCUCUCUCCUCAAUGGCUCCCUCCACCACCUCAUCAUCCUCCACGUCCCUCUUCUCCCCCCUCUCCCCUCUCCAAACCCCACCCCGAUACAAACAUACAAAUCCCUCGGAUCUACGCCUAGGGUUUCGUCGCAUCAGCUUCUUCCCCAAUUCAAGAACCCUAAUCCCAGUCCCACCCCCCCAAAGGAGUCCUCGCUCGGAUCCGAUACGCGCCGUGCAAACCGACCGCAAACCCAGCCGCUCCCCCAACGACGGUGGCGGCAAGGAGGACGGCGACCCCAUCGAGCGGUUCUUGAAGCGGGACUACUCACAGUGGGGCUUUGUUUCUGACAUCGAGUCUGUCUCGAUCCCCAAGGGCCUUGAUGAGGGCACCGUACGCCUAAUCUCCGCCAAGAAGGGCGAGCCUGACUGGAUGCUCCAGUUCCGCCUCCGCGCCUUCCGCCGCUUCCAGGCCAUGCGCGAGCCGCAGUGGUCGGACAACCGCUACCCACCCAUCGACCUCCAGUCCAUCUGCUACUACUCCGAGCCCAAGCGGAAGCCCAAGCUUGGUAGUCUCGACGAGGUCGACCCGAAGCUCCUCGAGACCUUUGACCGCCUCGGCAUCCCCCUCAACGAGCAGAAGCGCCUCGCCAACGUCGCAGUUGACGCCGUCAUCGACUCCACCUCCAUCGCCACCACACACCGUGCCGCCCUCGCUGAGAAAGGCGUCAUAUUUUGCUCCAUCUCUGAGGCAAUCAGGGAGUACCCAGACCUCGUCCGUCGUUACCUGGGCGAGGUCGUCCCCCCGGGGGAUAACUACUAUGCCGCCCUCAAUUCUGCUGUCUUCAGUGACGGUUCCUUCUGCUACAUCCCCAAGGACACUGUGAGCCCCAUGGAAAUUUCCACCUACUUCCGUAUUAACGACCGGGAGACUGGACAGUUCGAGAGGACUCUGAUCAUCGCUGAUGAACGGAGCUAUGUGAGCUACUUGGAAGGCUGCACGGCGCCUUCCUAUGAUAAGAACCAGCUACAUGCUGCGGUGGUGGAGCUUUACUGUCAUGAGGGGGCCGAGAUCAAGUACUCCACUGUGCAGAACUGGUAUGCUGGGGAUGAGCAAGGCAUCGGUGGGAUCUACAAUUUUGUGACAAAGAGGGGGCUUUGUCAAGGUAAAGGGUCUAAAAUUUCUUGGACACAGGUGGAAACUGGGUCCGCAAUAACAUGGAAGUACCCCAGCGUAAUUCUGAGGGGGGACGACACAGUAGGUGAGUUUUACUCGGUAGCACUGACAAAGGAUUUUCAGCAAGCAGAUACAGGAACAAAGAUGAUUCAUCAGGGGAAGAAUACUAGGAGUCGAAUAGUCUCCAAGGGCAUAUCUGCUGGGAAGUCGAGGAAUUGUUACCGGGGGCUUGUUAAGGUCCAGCCUGAUGCAGAAAAUGCUCGUAACUUUUCACAAUGUGAUUCUAUGCUUAUUGGUGACACAGCUGGUGCAAACACAUAUCCCUACAUAGAGGUAAGCUGCCUAUUUAUCGUUAUAGAUUGGCUUAUCAUGUCUUGUUUAUAUUUAUUAUGACCUGUAAUUUUUCUCCUUAAUGUGAGAUGCUGGAUCAAGUUUCCUUUUUUUCUGCAAGGCCAAGCAAUUUUGGUCCCUUCAAAGAAUUGGAGUUACUAAUCUUUUUCUUUGAACUUCCAUAAGAAUUAGGUGAUACCUUUAAACUCUGCAGACAUGCAUGCGAUAGACUUUAAAUGGAUCUAUCUGGUUGAUGUUUAAUGCAGUUAUGGUUAUGCAUUUAUGAUUUGCAUCUACAUGAGAGUUGUGAGUCUACUUGCAAGUCGACAAUUUAGAAAUUUUGCUUUAAUAGUGGAGCCUGGCCUAUAUUUUCCAAAUUGUUCUGAUUAAAGUGACUUGCUUAAUGUGGUCAAUGACAAUAAAUUAUGGUGCAUAGACAAAUAUAUGCAACCAGAAAAAGGAAAUUGGAUAUGGUUGUUUAGUAAACAAGAACUGAUUUUUUUUAUAAAUUUUUUAUACACAUUUUGACACAAAACAUAAAGAAGACAAUUGGUUAAGGUUAUUGAAAUUAUUCAUGCUAGUAACUGAUGAGAACAUCUGUAUGUCUUACUUAGGUUAUUUCUAAGUAAAAAUGUUUAAUGGUGGUAGUGCUUCUAGUGUGAUGCAUUUUUAUUAUUUUCUUUUAUUGAGCAUUAUGUAAGCACUUAAUUACAUGCAGACAUCAAAAUAUACAUAUGUAUUCUAUGUGUUUAAUUCUCACAUCUUCAUUGAUUUGGUUAGUUUGCAGGAGCAAAAUGUGUGUAUCAUGAACAUAGUUCAUAAGAUUAGGCUUAUAUCAGUUAGGGACAAUAUUUUCGAGGUUGGUCAGAUCAGAUCAGCAUGAUUAAGAUUGACCUAAAAAUAAUUUUAAAAAAUAAAAUAUGAUAAAAAUAAGAAAUAUUAUAUGCUGAAAGAUUUUAACUGCAUAGUUAAUAAGAUAUCUAACUUUAAGAAUUACAAAAUUAAAAAUAUCAAAGAUAAUAUAUAUAUAAGAGGAUGAAAAGUAAUGAUCAAAAUGCAACUUUGUCAGAAGAUAAUAUUAAUUGUAUUGUAUAAAGACAUCAUCAUAGUAAUUAACCAGUUACACAAAAAGAUGUCAUGUAUGUAUGCCAUACAAAGAUGAAGGAGAAAAAGACACUUGUGUAUAUGACUUGAAAUAGAUGCCAUUAUUGUGUUUGCUGCCAAUUACAACAGGAAAGGAGAUAGCAAGAGAAGUGGUGAAUAGAAUCUGACGCUCUACUAACUAUGUUUUUAUUUGCUUCUCAAGAGACUUGUCCUUUAGACCUUUUGGUGGUCAGUGUGGUCAAUAGAAUUGGUUGAAUGCUAAAUUAUGAAUUUGUGAUCGGCCAAAGCAACAUAGUCAGAUGUUAAUUGGUUAGAGAUUGAGAUUACGUGUUUUUAUAGACUUGUUGUCUUCAUUAUUUUAUGGGGUUUUAUUAGGUUUGGUUUUAACCACACAAAAUAUCUUCUGAACCUGCUAAAUUCUUAUUUAUGCUUGUGCCACCAUUGUUUUGGAUAUUUUUUCCUUAGAUAUAUCUGCUGUCUUAGCAGUUGUAGAACAUGUGUUUGUUAGCAAAUCCUUUGGAAGUAUUACCCAGAUGGUACUUCUUUUUUUAUUUCAAAAACUCCACAGAGAUCUGUAUUCUUUAAUUAAUGGUCCCAAUACCUGUGGGAUUUUUGACAAAACCAUUUUUUGGAAAUGUUAAUACAUACGAAAUUCAUUCCAUUGCCCGUUGGCUACAACAGUCAUUUUGAUUAGUGCGCAACAGAUUUUCUGUUAGGUUAUAUCGAGGUCAUCUGGUAUUCUGCAUUAAGGUGCUUGUGUUCUAUGCAUUUUUAUGAGGCUGUUGUCUUUUCAUUAGAAUUUUGAUUAAUGUAUAUACAUAUAUAUGGCUGUUCCUCAUAGUAACAGUGAAGAGUUUCAAUUUUGUUACUUUACAGUUGAAGUUUUAUAUAUCCAUGUGCAUUUAUGCUUUGUAUCCUUAGCAUUUCUGGUGAUGAGUAAAUAUGGAUUGCACUUGAUCCUUGAGGAAAAUAGCUAAUGACUACUUGCUAUUUCUCUUAAGCCAAUUGAUUUGAUUGAGUAAGCAAUGUUUGUCACCUUUACAAUUAAGCUCUACAUAUCCAUGGGCAUUUAUGCAUAUAACUUUAGCAUUUAUGUUAAAGAGCAAAUGUUGAUUGCACUAGAUCUUUGAGGAAAAAAAGACAAUAGAUAAUGGCUUCUAUUUAUAGAUCGAUUUGGCAUCGGUUUGAUCAAUCUUGAUUGUGAAUCGACCUUCUUAUUUGUACCUACUCUUGCUAGAUUAUUUGUACCAAUUGGCAUCUGUUUAAUAGUUCUUGAUUGCGUGAUUAACUUCCAUCUUUGUAUAUACAGUUUCCAGAUUAUAUGUAUCAUUAAACAACAUACUUUCCAUGUCUGUAAAUUUAGUCAAUUGCUUAUAUUGAUAAGUUGACUGUGCAUCGACCAGGUAAAGAACCCUACAGCCUGUGUUGAGCAUGAAGCAAGCACUUCGAAGAUAGGCGAAGAUCAGCUCUUCUAUUUUCAGCAAAGGGGGAUUGAUCACGAAAAGGCCGUAGCUGCAAUGAUAGGUGGAUUCUGCAGGGAUGUUUUCGACAAGCUCCCCCUCGAGUUUGCCUCUGAGGUGAAUGCACUCAUGAACUUGAAAUUAGAGGGGUCUGUUGGGUAAAUAUCCUCGUCUCUUAGCGGAACAAAAAGUCAGGACUUCUUGUAUACUGUAUAGCUUGAUAAAAAAGCAGGGUGACUUAUGGCACAGAAGUCAAUAUCGAAUGCCCUCUUUAUUUUGUUCUUCAUACGAGAUGACCACGUCGAUGAUAAAUCCAAGCUCAAUGUACCUUCUGUUUGGAGAUGAGAAUGUUGCUCACAAGAUUCUACCUGUUUUCCCAGUAAAGAUCAGAGCUUUCCGUAUCCUCUCAGCUCAAGGGAGAUCUGGAUCUUAGCCUUUUGUUUUCAGGUAUGGAUUCUCAUCAAGUCUGUUCAUCAGCAAGUGAUUCAUGCACGGUGAAAGUAAGAGGAAUUUAGGCCUUGGAUGCCUUAAAUGAUGCUUCAAAUAUUCAAUUGUUGUGUUUGACUACUGUUGCGUUUAAUGCGAGCCUAAUAAAACCUCUGUGGAUUGAUCCCUUCACAAUUAUGCUUCUCUUCUUACAUGGUGAUGGCUCUUCUUCUUCUGCUAAGAAGCACACAAGGGGGAAGUCCAGCUACGAGAAAGCGUGAGAACAUACAUGGGAAGUGGAAUGACUGAGGCUGAACUGGGAACACGUGGAGAAAGAUUAGAUUAAUCCAUGUGUUCUUGAGUCAACUAAAUGGUAGGAUUAAUUGCCUCCUUCGAUUUGCUUAAUGGCAUUGGCGUGGAGUAAGAGACGGUGUGCAAGAUUCAUGACAAUAACUGUGAUACCAUUGUGCACGCCACUUCUGCUUCGAGGUUGUCGACAGAUGUAGAUGUCGGGAGGAUCCGAAGGGUAAUUUUUGGGUCAACAAACGACUUCCAGUCCUCAUCUUUUUAUCAUCGUUUUUUUUUUCAUCUACAAUAGUUUUGGGUCAUCUUUUUUAUCAUCAUUAAUUAAAAUAUUAAAAUUAUAAUUUUUUAUUUAUUAUUUUCGUAAGAUAAAAUCAAUGAUAUUAGAAUAAAUUAAGUUAGAUUUUUCACCUUCAUAAUUAUAGGGAUUUAUAGCUAUAUAAAUUUUAAUAUAAAUUUUUAAAUCUAAAGAUCGAAAUAUUAAGAUCUAACUACUGUGGUAAUCUAUAAUUAACCCCCACUCUCACUUGAUGUCUAAAGAUAUGAAAGGCCAUUUUUUGGGAAAGCUUAAGCUUAUGAUUUUUUUUUUUUAUAACAUCUCUUAUUUCCAAAAUAUUAGAAGAGAGGUUUUCCUUUUUUACAUGGUGAAAAUAUCCUCACUGCGAGGAGGUAGUUUUAGCUUUUGAGUUUUCUGUCGAAAUUUAAAUAGACCGAACCAAUAAAACCAAUUGUAGUGUUUUUGAAUAGGGUUAUAUCGUUUUGUUAUUACUAAAUUAAAAAUACUUUAGUCCUAUUUAAGAUCAUUUCCGUUUUUAAGUAAUUCAAUUUUUUACAAACAUAAACUAUUUUAUCUGAGAGUUUUUAAGUGCUGUUGAGUGAAAAUUAAGAAUAUUUUUAUAUAUUUCAAAAUAAAGGAUGACAACUCUAACUCUAUUCAAGAAAAAAAAAAUCCGUAGAAACUAAAUUUUAGUAGGGAAUCCUUUUUUAACGGUGUUUUGAUUUUUUUUUUCUUAAAGAAAAUAUAGAAAAAAAAUAUCAUAAUCUGAAGGAAAAAAGAAAACUAAAACCUCGGAGCUUUUCCUAAGAAGUAGGCCAGUGAAGAAACUACAGAUGCCAAACGUUAGAUGUUUCUUCUGCAAGAAAGCAUCACCUGAUGCACACUCGAUGCCACUUACAUUGUCAAGGAGGGUUUCUUGAUGGCUUCAGAAGCUGUCAACCUUAACCCUGUCCCUAAUGCCUACAGGUCAACUCAAUCCAUCCACAUACAGCAGUGAAGAAUGAUUCCUUUGGUACUGAAUUCUCCGAUACCGAUCUACCGUAGGAUGCUGCACAGUUACCAACAAGGCAAUGGUGGGGUAAAAGUCCAUUCUGAUCACCACUGAAAGGAGAAGAGAAUUAGACACUACCACUCGAUGCAGAAGCAAAGGCAAUCUAUUCUGACAGCACACAUAGCCAGCUAGCCAUGAGCAAUGGUAAAAAUUCAUGGAAGGUUUUUGACUUCAUCGAAGGGAAUAAACAAAGUCAAGCUGUAGAACGGAGGGAGGGUGAGAUCCCCAGAUCAGUCCAGUGCUUCAUGAUGGAGAGAGAAUGAAUAGAAAACUGAGGCCAAUGUGUGAGCUCUUCCCCCCAACUUCCUCUGCACUGGAAUCCAAAGCAUUGUCUGCUCCCACGAGGCAUCAGCUAACACAGCAGCUAUUUUCUAUCUCAGUCCCUGAAGCUUCCCCAGCUUUCCAUAUAACAUCGAAGACUUUGAAGCCAGCAUUAAUAUAAGCUCAUCAUAAGCUUUCUGAGUAGAAAAUGCCCUUCAAGAAUUAUCAUGGGAUAUCAACUCGACAGAGAGAAACUUUCAGUUCUUGCUGAUGCUUAGCCCACCACCAGUCCUUCCUGAGUUGAUCAAAGAGGAGAAGAAAUUGCAGCUGAUACAGCCAAUCCUGAGCUUAAAUCUGUAUGCACCAUGUGCUUCAUUGCAUCAGUAACCUCACUGUGCUCAGGUCACUCUGCAGUAAGAUUGCAAGGAGGCCAAGUAAGUUCUAUGAAGAGUGACUCUAAAUGGUGGCAGAUUCGAGGUGUGGAAUUUAAUUGCUGCACUAACGACAGUAGAGCUGACCUUUAUCACGAGCAUCCCAUCCGGUGCAUGUGAGAUCAUUAAGUGCACUCGAAUCACUAUGAUUAGAGGUAGAAAGAUAUCCCCAGCACUAAUCACCAAGCACCGACUGCAAUUAACUCCAUUGACUUCCGAGUUCUCUUUCACCCGGACGCU